rnacentral:rRNA from 1 species
GACGAACGCUGGCGGCGUGCUUAACACAUGCAAGUCGAACGGAAAGGCCCUGCUUUUGUGGGGUGCUCGAGUGGCGAACGGGUGAGUAACACGUGAGUAACCUGCCCUUGACUUUGGGAUAACUUCAGGAAACUGGGGCUAAUACCGGAUAGGAGCUCCUGCUGCAUGGUGGGGGUUGGAAAGUUUCGGCGGUUGGGGAUGGACUCGCGGCUUAUCAGCUUGUUGGUGGGGUAGUGGCUUACCAAGGCUUUGACGGGUAGCCGGCCUGAGAGGGUGACCGGCAACAUUGGGAGGGAGAUACGGCCCAGACUCCGACGGGAGGCAGGAGGGGGGAAUAUUGCACAAGGGGCGGAGGCCUGAGGCAGCAACGCCGGGGGGGGGAGGACGGCUUUGGGGUUGUAAACCGCUUGCGCCGGUGACGAAGCGGGAGUGACGGUAAGGGGUAAAGAAGCACCGGCUAACUACGUG